CAUAUGCUGCGUUCUGGCUUUGCUUGUUAGCCAGCAGACAGGAAAAUUUUAUUUUUAGGCAGAUGUGAAAGCCCUAAUUUGUUGCAGCGGGGAAGAGAGAGACUAAUAAUAGAAUGCAAUACAGCCAAUGCCAAAUUAAUUAACAGAGACCAAAACAGGUUAUAGUUUACAAGCCAAAGCUACUAUUUUCCACUUCCCUCGCCUUCUCCUUCUCUCUGCAGUGUAGUAGAGCUAGAGUUGGAAGAGGGACAUCCUAUAGCACCUAGUCAUUGCUGCAGGCAUUUUGCUGUGCCUUUGAGUUUUUAAGGAGUUUGCCUUGACCUUACAAUACUUCAGUGGACAAGACCAGCCGUAAACAAUUUCUUCCACGGCCGCCCAGCCUGGCUCGAGCCUCUUGCUGCUGAACACAUCUCAGCUUGUUGGCAGAUGAAUCAGCAUGGCGGGAAGGGACAAGGAGGAGGAGGAAACGUCAGAGCCUUGGAGAAGGUGCUGAGGCACAGCAGAGUCCCUGCUGCACCCGCGCGCAUCCACCUUCCCGGGCCCAGCCUCCCUCAGCAGGAGGCCGAUGACCUGAAGGGAGACUGAGAAUAGCUCCUGCCUCCCUUUUUACUCUCGGGUGACCACACGUGUUUGCUUGUCAGCUCUUUCCAACUAGGAGCAGGAGCCUAUUUUAAGCCAUCUCUUUCCUCACGCAUACACUGUUGCCAUAGCUGCAAAACUAAUGCACAUGGAAAGAAAGGUUCUUACUCUAUUGACUCAGCAGAGAGGCAUGUUACUGAAUCUCUCUGUUUCUUAACUCAUGUAAGUGAAAGAUAGUGGGCCAGAUCCUUCCCCAGCUGGUGCUAAAAUGGCACAACUCUUUUGGCUUAGUGAGUCCCUAUUAAUUUGCAGCAGCUGACAUACUAGCCCUUUGUUUUCCAUUGCUAUGCUUUCCAGAACUGUUCGUGGCAUGCUGCAAUUAAUUCAGCUUCUCCUCUUGUAUCCUCCCUUGAAAGAUAGUCUGAUGGAGAUGGGAGAAAGCUGUAUUCAGUCUCCUUCUGUCCACCUUCCAUUUGUCUGAGGAGUCAGGGAGUGAAUACAUGCCCAGCAUAUGGUAUCUCUCAGCCUUUAACUUGCAUCAAAUUUCCAGGGUCACAGACAGCAGUUUUGAGAAUAUUUAAGCCAGUCAGCCAUUUGGGAAGUACUCGCAGGAGCGGACCCGUUGAAGGACAACGAAAGCUGCCUCUAAGCUGGAAACAUGGAGCAAAGGCUCCUCUUCAUCCACAUGAGGGAGCUCCGUUAACAUUAAUAGAAACUGCUUAAAAUGCCAUUAUUACAGUGAAAAGUGCAUCUCAGUCAGAAAGAACACAAGGGGAAGCAACAUAAAUUCAUAUUUUGAAGCAGAAUUCGUGAAACGAGACAAGGAGAUUCCUUCCUGGCAACAUCUUCCAAAUUCGAGCAAAUGGCUUUGGCACAUAAAAGUUCAUUUCCAGCUGAAAUGUCCAAGGAGAACCCUGAUAUCUGAAGGUCAUGGUGUAUCUGGAAGGGUCCUUAAGUAACCUUAAUGCACCCUGAAGUGUGUCAGGGCAGGUGACCCCCUAGAGAAAGAGGGAGAUAAAUCACCAUGAGAGCAGCUCCCUCACACAGCCAGGAACACGUUUUGGAAGGAUAACGUGCGCACAAGCUCUGAAGCUGGAGCCUCUCUCCCAUCCCCAAAGACAUGGCUGGUACACAAACUCCACACAUCUCGCCAGCCAUGCGUGAAGACGCCCUGUUCAUCCCUGUGCUCUCAGCCAGGGUGGUCGUCUGUGUGGAAAGCCUAAAGCAAACAAAGGCAAGCUGCAGCCAGAUGUUGGGAGGCUUUCAGGUUCACUUAACGUUCCCGGGGUAGGCAGCGCAUGCAUGCCUGUGCUCCUCGCUCGGACGGAUAAGCCCAAGCAGCCAUACCCUUUAAAACCUUUCCCUUUGCAAUGGAAAUCACUGCUUACCUUUCCAGAACCAUCUGAGCAAAUACGGACCUUGCAGAAAACGUCAGCAAUUCCUGAUCCAUCAAGGCUGUGCUAAACAAACCCGGCCGAACAAUUUACAACUUGACCUCAUGUUGUGCCUGUAAAUGGAUUCUGUGAAAGGCCUUUUCUUAGGUUAGUUAUAUUUUCAUGGUGUAUACACCAGGGUAAAUUAGCCAAUUCGACAGUUCCCCAGAAUCCCCUUGGUUUUGCUUUUUACUGGGGAGGGGUGAUUUUUACAGGACCUUGGGGGAGAUUUCAGAAGGGACUUGUUGCAAAUCCUUGAAGCUCUGCUUUAUCUCCUUAGACAGAAAGCAUUUUCUUUUUUGUCUGGGGCAAGAAAUUUUGCUCUUCUGUGUACUGAAGAAUAUUCUUGAGAAUGACUUCUGAGUGAUUCAUGAUCAGAUGUUGAAAAAAAAUCAACUUAUUUGUAAGUCCCGUGUGAUAGAUUUGGACUGAUUCCUCAAGAAACACAUUUUAGAAGCCCCCUUAAUAUUUGCAUGGAAGAAAUUGUUGUUCUCAACUUGUCCUAUUUCAAAAGGAAAAUCAAUUCUUGUGUUCGAAGCUCCAUCUUGUACCAGAUACAGAAUCUGAGGGAAGCACACCAUCUUCCUCUAAGAAAGAGGAUUUAAUAAGGUAUUUCCUUAGUAAAUCAGGACGACAGUUCUAGAGAGGAAUAAAAGACAUGACACCGAAGGAUAACUAGGGCAAAAAUGUUACACAAACUGCUAGCAUUUUUCUCAUCUUCUGCUGAUGACACUUCCAUGUCAUGUACCCUAACACAAUAAGUUCAGGAUUUGUUUUUGCACAAUAAAUCUCCUAACCCACAUGUGGGAGACUCUGACAUGAUGUUUCUAUAAAUAAUUUAUUGUGAAUGAACAAGAAUGAAUAUAAAUUCCUUCUUCUGUCUAUAUGCACAAAUGCUCCACUACUUUUAGAAGUGACCAGAACCAUCAUUUUUUUUACCUAUAAUAACAUGAAGAAAAGAAUAUGAUAAAAACAGGGAAGACAUGUCUGAUUGAGAAUAAUUUUGGAGCAUUAGUAUUGCUCCAAAAUAGUGUUACAGGAAUAGAUAUCCAGAUCUAAGAUGUUGAUUGAUGUAAGGCUGACGAAGGAGCUCUUUGUAUAUGUAAGAAUUGUUUUGUUUCUAUUCCAUUUCUAUGACCACAUAGACGGGGUGAUAUAGGUAGUGUAAGACUUUUCAGAUGUGUCUUUUCAAAAAGAUCCUGCCAGUACAGACUGGAGUAAUGUAUUGUUCCCACAAGUUUGCCACACUACUUCUUGCGGAGUGUAUCAGACGUGGGGGUUGCCAUUUCUUGUUUUGUGCUGCUUUGUGUUUCAGUACAAGUCAGUGACAGCUAAGUGUUAACUGGAGCUAAGCACCUGCUUCAUUCAGUGGGAAGAAGAGAUCAGGAAGGGAAAAUGAUAGGAAACCACCAAGCACCCUUUCUUUCUGUUAGUGUCGAUUGUCGCGUUUCAUUUCCUCAACUAUGCCAAUAUCACUGCUGAAGUCGUGCCAUAAAUGCCUCUGGUGCUGCCAGGUGUGUCUUAUCCCCAUAGCUGUGAGCACUACGAUGUUGGGUUGGUUUCUGCUGGUCUCUGAGAAGCCCUAGGUAGUAGCUGGGUGCUCAUCGACACUACUGUCCUCCAUCAAGAGGAAAUCUCCUUGUGCCUGAAUGCCUAUGGAGACAUAGUGUGGUAUAGCUGAGUAAUGGUUGUCCUCUAGUCUUCAAUAAUGGUACAAUAUCAAAAAUCAACACAAUCAUUAACAUUAAAGAUUACUUUCAUCGCUGCCAUCUUAGUCACAUGCAUAUUUAGCCACUUAAGUCAUCCUUGAGACUGCUAGGAGCCUUGAUGCAUUUAAGAUUUCCCUCAUCAGAGAUUUCAAAGUCUGCAGCUCUUGAUAAAUAGCAGAGGACCUACCCCAAUGAAUCAGAUCAAGGAAAAAACCUCUACCAUGUCUGAGAGAACAGCAUAUCCAAACAUACUGGGAUGAUUAAGGAAUACCAUUCUUGUUUCUAAAUUAACAUUCACACUAAAAAGUAUAUUUAAAUCACAAAGGAGAAAGAUGACGUAGUUUUUCCUGCAAAGAGAUCAUGAGUUUGGUCUCCCAAUAAUUCAUGCCUGGAUUAUAUUAAAAUUAAACCACUAAUUUCAAAGGCCUUCCUGAAAGACAAUUUAGACUUCUCACACUCCUGGCUAACCAGCUAAUGAGCAUAUAUAUGGCAGAUUUAAACAGGAUUAAGUAGCAUAUUUCUUGUGAGGUCCUCAGAGCUGCAUCAUUUUAUGUUGCUUCCAGAUCUGGUUCAUGAACUACAGUUUGAUGCCAGCAAGAUGACAGUGAAACAUAGAAACAGGUAUCAUAGCCAGAAAAACAGCGCUUUUAAUGCAAAAACAGUA